rnacentral:snRNA from 1 species
UAAUGUAUGUUUUAUUAU